CUGACGUGUGAGGCUGGAGAGCCAAGCGGGUCUCCAGAGUAGCCCCUUCUCUCUGGCUUGGUCAGGAUCGAGUCUGCCACAGUUAGAAACUGGGGGGGUCAGUGGCCUCGUCCUUUUCAAAACGGGUGGGCUCCUGGACUCUGCGACCUCGAACUGUUUGGGCAACUGAUGAGCAAGAGCCCCUGUUGCCCAGGGGCCGACCAUCAGUGGGCUUGGUCGUGGCUGGAGUCUGGCCUGGCCGUCGGAGCUCGGCUGUCCAAGCUUGCCGCUGGCCCCCGGCUAUCCGAGCAUGUCCAAAGAGUGGAUGAUUCCUUCAUCUGGGUCCCAGAUUGAUGGAACAAAGCUGAAGAUGACUGUGACUAACAGAGACUACAAAGAGAAAUAAAUGGAGACUAUAACAUGUUGUGUCUAAAGAUUUGUCCUGGGAAGCCAUAAAAUCCAAUAUCUGAAUUCAGUAUGGCCAUAUAGAAGAACAAGAGUUGCCUCUUAUUCUUCACUCCUACAGCCAGAAGGGCAAUCACUCUUCAUUGAAAGGACUGAGAUGUACUCAAAACUCAUCUUUCCUCUUCAACAAUGAACACUGAUGUCAAAACUUUUUAUUGCAAAUGAUGGGCGUGAUAAUCUAUGUAAGCCUACUUAUGCUGACUCCAAAAAUCCUGAGUCUGCCCUUUGAACCUCAAGACAAUGCUUGGGCUCACUCCUCCACAGCAUUUCACAAUCAGUCUAACUUCUGGGUCUGUGGAGAGCUCCCCUUUUCAUCAGUGGAAGGCUUCCCAUGGUGGACAUCUCCACUUCAAGGAAAGGACUUUCU